CCUACGGGAGGCAGCAGUGGGGGAUAUUGCACAAUGGGGGAAACCCUGAUGCAGCGACGCCGCGUGAGGGAAGACGGUUUUCGGAUUGGAAACCUCUGUCUUUGGGGACGAAUUGAGACGGUCCCCAAGGAGGAAGCUCCGGCAAACUACGUGCCGGCAGCCGCGGUAAUACGUAGGGAGCAAGGGUUGUCGGGAAUUACUGGGGGUAAAGGGAGCGUAGGGGGGUUAGUAAUUUGAUUGUUAACACUAUCGGCUAAACUGGUAGUUGCGAUCGAAACUGGAAUUCUUGAGUAAAGUAGAGGCAGGCGGAAUUCGUGGUGUAGCGGUGAAAUGCGUAGAUAUUAGGAGGAACACCAGUGGCGAAGGCGGCCUGCUAGGCUUUGACUGACGCUGAGGCUCGAAAGUGUGGGUAGCAAACAGGAUUAGAUACCCGAGUAGUC
rnacentral:rRNA from 1 species